AGCAAAGAAGUAAAAUUUACAAUUAAUUUCGACUUAAAAUUUAGAGUUUGAUCUCCAUGCUU
rnacentral:tRNA from 1 species